CCGGGGCCCCCACCCACCCCCCGGUCCUGUCCCUCCCCACACCACAGUCUCCACGGUCAGAGCAGCCAUCACACGUCCACCAAUUCUUCUCACCAUUCUUUUCCAUACAUCGCACAGCAAAGACCUAAGUUUUUGAUACUCACCAAAAAACUUUAUUUUAAAAAUUAUUAUCUGGUAUGAUUUGUCAGAGCAAAGUAGGAAAACAAGGCACACUGUUUCUGAUCUAUUUGGCCACAUCUUGCCUCAGAUCUUGAUAACUUUACACAAACAUCUACUUUUCUUCAUAUUAUCUAGCACCACACUUUUUACUGUGGCAUCGGAGGACACGCAGCACAGCGCACUCCGAAGAGUUGUUAAUCUCUGAAUAACAGACGAGUACGUUUAUUACCCACUGCUCCUUCUAGUGAGAAGACGAGUGCGAGGCUUUAUACACAAAGCCUCUUACUGUCAGCAGUGAGAGAAGAAGAUGCCCUGGUGAGGGCUUGGGGCAAGGUUUAGUCACAAAAUUGUGAUGCAGCCAAAGGGAAGAGGUGGGUGAAAGAAGAGGCGCCCUGAGGACCUGAUGAGAAACACCUUCGUGUUUUCCAUGCGAACAGACUCGGUCAAAGGGAACACACGCAGCUGCUGGGUCCUGGAAGUCAGAGGACAGCCCGACAGCAAUAAGCCAGAAUAUUCCCUAGAUUUUAUAGGAGGAGAGAUAGGAGGAGAGAUGGCACUUAGGGAACUCCAUCUCCUUAAGGAGAUAAGGUCUGUCAAAGGUCACCAAGAAGGGUUACCUCAGACAACCCUCCAGAGACACCACUGCUUCAUCAUCCCCCCCAGCAUGAGCAGAGGGUAAACCUGCGUAUGACCUGCAAGCUUCAGAAACCAGGAGGAAUUACUUGGAGUGAUCUUUGUCAUCAGAGCAGAAGGUGUGACGCUCGGGGCGUUGGCUGAAGAGGGCCUUGAGAAGACACCGUCUAUCACAAGAUGAAAUGCGACCAAGCCGAACCCAAGGACAUGCCUGAGGGUCCUUCCAAUUCACAACACGCUCAAGACAGCAGCCUUGCCCUCACCCAUCCCACAGAGGACAGACUUCACGGUCAGGAAAACUCAGACCACAUGCACCAGUGGGACGGCCGCAUCGUGAGCAUUAAGGGGGUGAGCCAAGAGAAGAAAAUGGCCAAGGCCGUUCUUACCAUACACGCGGUACUCCAAAUGUCAGCAGGUGUACUGUAACCUGCUCCUAUUAAAACCUCUAUGGAUCUAUA